GCAAAAGAUGUUGUAAAAGCUCUGAAAAGAAGGUUACAACAUAAGAACUCAAAAGUUCAACUACUCUCUUUGACGCUAUUAGAAACAAUGGUAAUGAACUGUGGGGAUUACGUUCACUUCCAAAUUGCCGAGAGGAAUGUAUUAGGGGAGAUGAUCAAAAUUGUGAAGAAGAAGGCAAAUAUGCAAGUGAGGGAGAAAAUCUUGGUCUUGCUUGACUCUUGGC